rnacentral:lncRNA from 10 species
CUGGAAACCAAAUGAAAAUGCAGCAUCUCCAGGCAAUUUCCUUAAAAUGGAUCAACUUGAAACAUUCUCUAUCACAGGACCAGUAGACAGGAGAGGAGCCAAAGAAGGAAGGACUGUGCGUGUCGGAGCAGACAAAGAAUUAAUAAAAGGGUCACUGAACCUGCUCUGAAUCUCAGAUGCAUCCUUCGUGAAGUGAAAAAAGAUUCCCCUGAGCUGCUAAGAGCAAGGAAACACAAUCCGGGCUGAGCUGGAAACUCUAGAUCUGCUACAACCUGGUUAAUUGCUACUGGGCAGAGAGGCAAAGAAUAGAUAAAAAUUUGCAGCUGUAAAAAAAAAAAAAGAAAUCUGAAAGGGAUAGAGCAGCUUAGUAAAAAGAAAGCUGGAAUCUGAAGCCACCUCCAUUCAUUCAUGGAACACCUAUGAGGCGCCUAUUCCCAUAGUGUCACAAGCACUGACUGUCGUAGGUCCAGGGAGACACAGGUCCCUCAAAGAGCUUACUCCUAGAGUAGCAGGUUUAUAUUUGUAAUUAUAAACAAAUAACUACAGUAAAAUGUGGCAAGUGGCAAGAAAGAGAAAGGCACAAAGCACUAUGGGUGCACCCAGGGCAGGAAGGUCCUGGCGGGUGAUGGGCAGCUCCCUGGGGGCAGCAUGGGGAACAGCAGAGGGAACAGCAUAUGUGAAGGCCGAGGGGCCAAUCAUCUUGACCUGGAAGGUGAAUCACAAGCAUUCCUACCUCGCUGAAGCACAGUGUGAAGGAAGGGAGAGGCGAGAGACAGGGCUUGGAAGGCAGGCUGAAGCCAGUUGUAAGGGACCUCUGAAUCAUGUGCAGAAGUAUCUGGGAUUUCUCCAUGAGGAAUCAUCGAAGCCUUCUUCAAGUAAGGGAGUAACUGAGAUCAAAC